UACGGAGGAUCCGAGCGUUAUCCGGAUUUAUUGGGUUUAAAGGGAGCGUAGGUGGAUUGUUAAGUCAGUUGUGAAAGUUUGCGGCUCAACCGUAAAAUUGCAGUUGAAACUGGCAGUCUUGAGUACAGUAGAGGUGGGCGGAAUUCGUGGUGUAGCGGUGAAAUGCUUAGAUAUCACGAAGAACUCCGAUUGCGAGGGCAGCUCACUGGACUGCAACUGACACUGAGGCUCGAAAGUGUGGGUAUCAAACAGG
rnacentral:rRNA from 1 species